rnacentral:rRNA from 1 species
CGAGUGGCGGAGGGGUGAGUAGUGUCUGGGGAUCUGCCCGAUAGAGGGGGAUAACCACUGGAAACGGUGGCUAAUACCGCAUAACGUCGCAAGACCAAAGAGGGGGACCUUCGGGCCUCUCACUAUCGGAUGAACCCAGAUGGGAUUAUCUAGUAGGCGGGGUAACGGCCCACCUAGGCGACGAUCCCUAGCUGGUCUGAGAGGAUGACCACCCACACUGGAACUGACACACGGUCCACACUCCUACGGGAGGCAGCAGUGGGGAAUAUUGCACAGUGGGCGCAAGCCUGAUGCACCCAUGCCGCGUGUAUGAAAAAGGCCUUCGGGUUGUAAAGUACUUUCAGCGGGGAGGAAGGCUAUGUGGUUAAUAACCGCAUUGAUUGACGUUACCCGCAAAAAAAGCACCGGCUAACUCCGUGCCAGCAGCCGCGGUAAUACAGAGGGUGCAAGCGUUAAUCAGAAUUACUGGGCGUAAAGCGCACGCACGCGGUCUGUUAAGUCAUAUGUGAAAUCCCCGGGCUUAACCUGGGAACUGCAUUUGAAACUGGCAGGCUUGACUCUCGUAGAGGGGGGUAGAAUUCCGGGUGUAGCGGUGAAAUGCGUAGAGAUCUGGAAGAAUACCGGUGGCGAACGCGGCCCCCUGGACGAACACUGACUCUCAUGUGCGAAAGCGUGGGGAGCAAACAAGAUUAUAUACCCUGGUAGUCCACGCCGUACACGAUGUCCACUUGGAUGUUGUUCCCUUGAAGAGUGGCUUCCAGAGCUAACGCGUUAACUCCACCGCCUGGAGAGUACGGCCGCAAGGUUAAAACUCAUAUGAAUUGACGGGCGCCCGCACAAGCGGUGGAGCAUGUGGUUUAUUUCUAUGCAACGCGAAGACCAUACCCUACU